CCUACGGGGGGCAGCAGUGGGGAAUAUUGGACAAUGGGGGCAACCCUGAUCCAGCCAUGCCGCGUGUGUGAAGAAGGCCCUCGGGUUGUAAAGCACUUUCAGUGAGGAAGAACGCCUGGUGGUUAAUACCCAUCAGGAAAGACAUCACUCACAGAAGAAGCACCGGCUAACUCCGUGCCAGCAGCCGCGGUAAUACGGAGGGUGCGAGCGUUAAUCGGAAUUACUGGGCGUAAAGCGCGCGUAGGUGGCUUGAUAAGCCGGUUGUGAAAGCCCCGGGCUCAACCUGGGAACGGCAUCCGGAACUGUCAAGCUAGAGUGCAGGAGAGGAAGGUAGAAUUCCCGGGGUAGCGGUGAAAUGCGUAGAGAUCGGGAGGAAUACCAGUGGCGAAGGCGGCCUUCUGGACUGACACUGACACUGAGGUGCGAAAGCGUGGGUAGCAAACAGGAUUAGAUACCCUAGUAGUC
rnacentral:rRNA from 1 species